CUCUGGCAGAGGAGCCCAGCCCUGUGUUCCCAGGUCCUCACAUUCAGUGAUUACCACUGACCACAGACCAUUCAUCAUGGACUUGGGGAUGAGCUGGAUUUUACUUGUCUUUAUUUUAAAAAGUGUCCAGUGUGAUGUGCAGCUGGUGGAGUCGGGAGGAGGCUUGGUGCAGCCUGGAAAGUCUUUGAAACUCUCCUGUGCAGCCUCUGGAUUCACCUUCAGUAAUUACUACAUGUACUGGGUCCGCCAGGCUCCAGGGAAGGGGCUGGAGUGGGUCUCAUGGAUUAGAUAUGACGGUGGUAGCACUGCUUAUGCCGACGCCGUGAAGGGCCGAUUCACCAUCUCCAGAGACAAUGCCAAGAACACCCUGUACCUGCAAAUGAACAGUCUGAGGUCUGAGGACACGGCCACAUAUUACUGUGCAAGAGACACAGUGAGUGAAUGUAACUGA